CCUCUAAUGCGGCCCGGCAUGGUGCCGGACGGUGGUAAGCCCGUGCAAACGCAGAACCUAGG
rnacentral:ribozyme from 2 species